rnacentral:rRNA from 1 species
AAUCAACGCUGGCGGCGUGCCUCAGACAUGCAAGUCGAACGCGAAAGCUCCCUUCGGGGGGCAAGUAGAGUGGCGCACGGGUGAGUAACACGUAGGUAAUCUACCUUCGGGUGGGGAAUAACAACCGGAAACGGUUGCUAAUACCGCAUAAUGCAGCGGCACCUAAUGGUGACAGUUGUUAAAGCGGGGGAUCGAAAGAUCUCGCGCCUGAAGAGGAGCCUGCGGCGGAUUAGCAGGUUUGGUAGGGUAACGGCCUACCAAGGCGACGAUCCGUAGCCGGCCUGAGAGGGCGACCGGCCACACUGGGACUGAAACACGGCCCAGACUCCUACGGGAGGCAGCAGUGGGGAAUCUUGCGCAAUGGGCGAAAGCCUGACGCAGCGACGCCGCGUGA